UUUUCAGAAACAUUGGGAGUUUGUUGACAUUCCUUCAAGAUUUGAUGCUAUAAACUGAUAAUUUUUAACUGUCUAGGUUGCUGCUUCAUUGUACACAUUUGCCUGGUAAGAUGGGGAAUAAGUGAAUUUUGUAAAAGUGUUCACUGAGCCAAAAUGGAAGUCACAAACUACCUGAAAACUUUUAAAAUGAAAAAUCCUCAAGAGAAAAACGAAUCAGACCCAACCACACUUAGGCAGUGCCCGUGACAAGUUCAGAUCACAGACGUCCUUCUCCUGCCACAAAUGUCAGAAACGCUUGUUAUCUGAGUACACUGCCUUCUCCCCCCUUUCUGAACAGCUCAACUUGGAAAGGUCAGCAUAUCCCUUUGGGAAAAAUCUUUUCUUGUAAAUUGGACUGUUUGCACACAUAACUGUAGGAAAUGUUUAGCAUUUGCUUUGAUGGGACAGCAGUUUGUUCAACAGAGUGGAAUUGUUCUUCUUUUUCCAUUUUCCUGCCUGUUUGUACAUCACGGGCACCCAAAUUACGGAAAGCAACUUAGAGGCCCUUCUUUCUGUGGGAUCAGAUCAUCCUGUCCACAAAACCAGCCAACGCCUUGGGCUUCCGAAACGCCAGCUAUGUUCCAUCUUUUAUUUACUCUGAGGGACUCAUUUGUGACACACUUUGUUCUGAAUAAAAGCAGUAAUUUUCCACAGAUUAUACAUACUGGAGCCCUGGAAAAGGAGGAGGAGGAGAAAGAGGGGAAGGAAGUAGCGAGAAAAAAGAAAAACAGAAUGACUGCUCCAGGAUCUCCUGCUUUGCCUUUGCACAGAUUUGUUUCUGUGUGUAUGACGGGUGUUACACAGUGUCCAGUGUUUCAAAUGCAUUAACUUUCUCUGAGUCUUUUGGUUUACGUAAGAAAGAUACAGAUCACUAAGACAACAAAGCAAGUUGCUGCUUGUGAUCAGCUGCCUCCAGUGUGAUAAUCAGCAUAAAUAUUUGUGGUUCAUGGAGAAUUGUUCACCAGAGUCCAUCUUACCAUCCAUCUUGAACUAAUGAAGAACAGUGCUGAGUUUGUGUGGCUACAUUCGUUUCUGUAGCAACAAGUGGAUGCCAGAAACAUGCUUAUAAUUUUUCCUCAAGUAAAAAUGCUGUAAUUCAGCAACGACUGAAAAUAAACCCAAGGAGGGGCUGUAAGGAAGACGGCAGCAUCUAGGUGUUGGUCUGGGCUGGGCUACAGGAAGGGACCUGAGUCAGAGCUUGGCUCGUUAUUUUGAGAAGCUUCCGAUUAUUCACCUCCAGAAAUAGCUUCCCUUCCAUUUCAGCCGAAUCCCUCUGCUGCUGACUGUGUGCUGUGUAUGCCUGAGGCACGUGUGCCCGUGGAAGAAACAGCUUAUCCCAGACAAACCACCUCUGCAUGCGUACAUCCCAUGCCCUCCAUCCUAUCCCCAUCUUCUCCACGGACUUCCCUCCUUCAAUUAAUUCUUUCUCUCCUAAGUCAUCAGUAUCUUUCUCUUCAUUGGCUCAGUCACAAAAGCGUACAGACACCGUCUGUCUCCUCUCAACUCACAUCCCCUUGUAAUUACUACCUACUUCCCUUCACAGCAAAACUUAAAGAUACUUAGCCACACACAUUGAUUUCUGCUUUCUCUCCUCCAUUCACUUUCCAACCCACUCUAGUCUGCCUCCCAUCCCCAUUUUUGCAAAGAAAAUGAUCUUGAGUCACUAAGACUUCGUUGUCAAAGCCAGUGGACAUGUAUCUGCUCUCAUGUUUCUCAGCUUUCUGGUAGGAUUUCAACACACUUGACGCUGUGCUCUGGACUCUCUCUCCUCUUGGUUUUCAAAUACUGCCUCCACCUAGUUUUCCUCCUGCUUUGGGCUGCCUCCCCCAGGUUCUCCAUCCUCUACCCCUAUCUAGAUAUGGAAGUGCCCCAGGACUCAGUCCCUUUCCCUGGAUAAUUUAAAUCCAUAGCAUGAUUUUAAAUAGUAUGUAAAUGCUGAAGAACCCCACUUUUAUAACCCUAGCCCUGAUGACUCCUGUGAUUUUCACAUUCAUAUAUGCAACUACUCAUUUUAUGUCCCACAUGUUUAAUAGACAUCUCAAAUUUACUUUCCCAAACUUGCUUCUCUUGAACUUUUUCCAUUCUCAGGAAGUGGCACCACUGUUGACCCAGAGGCUCAAGUCAAAAACCUGAAACUCAACCUUAAUUCUCUCUUCCUUAAACCCUACCUCAUUUCCUCCUCACAUCCCAUCUAUCAGCAAAUCACAUCAGUUCUAUCUUCAAGAUCUAGCUUUAAUUAUUCAAUUUAAUCUCUAUAUCCCCUUCCAUUGCCAAAUUGUCAUAAUCACUCAAUUGGGCUGUCACAAUGGUCUCUCUGCUGCCACUCCUGCCUCUUCACAUUUUGCACAGAGCAGACAGUUUAAAAAAAAGGGGAAGGGGGAGCCAGAUUAUAUCAUUGUCCUGUAUAAAGUCCAUUAAUAUUUCUAAUCGCACUGGGAAUAAAUUCAAACAAACCCUACCAUGGUUUACAUGGCCCCACGUGAACUAGCUUCUCGUCCACUUCCCCAUCCCCUGCCCCUUGGCUCCAGUUACACUGGCCUCCUGGAUGCCCCCAUCACAAGUCAAGCCCUUUUCAGCCUCAGGGACUUUGCCUCUGUUCUUGCAACAUUUUACCUCCUGUAUCUUCACAUGAGUGGCUCUUUUUCAUCCAUUUCUUUAGAAAUGUGUUCCUUGCAUUCAUCCCUAUUGCUCACUCUUGGUCAUUACACCUUAUUUCCUUGGAAGCACUUAAUCACUACCCAGAAUUAACUUGUUCAUUUGCUGGCAUGUUCUGUGUCUUUUAUAGAAUGUAAACUCCCUGAGGGCAGAAACCUUGUCUGUCCUCUAUUGAUGACAGACCUAGAGAAGUGCCUAGCAUGUGAACACCCGGUUUAAGAACAGACUAGCCAUUUAAGACUUUGGAGCUACAUUUAGUAAAAAACGCUCAAACCUCAUCAACCCCAAGUAAGACACUAAAGAGCUAUUCAAGACUUUUUCAAGCCAAUUACACAAAUACAUUAUUUUUGGUUACAGUCCCCUGCUAUGCACAAGACCAUUGGAAUGCUGUAACAAUUACACAUUUUAAAACGGCACAAAGCAAAGCAAGGAGAUAACAUGCCAGCCUUACAGAAGCUGUCUUGAAAGUGCAAACUUUGCAUUUUCUCUUCCUGAACCACUAGGGUAAGCACGGGUACCUCAGACGACGCGGCAGGGUCACGAGCAUGCUUUCUAUAUCACACCGGUGAGACGUUUACUUGAACCAGAUCUCCAUGCCUUUGAAGAUACCUCUGGUUUUAAACAGGGAACAGGCUUCAACUAAAUAUAGUGCAAAUCAAACACCGAGGAGCCAAAACGACAGAACAGAGACCGCCACAGGUCGACCUGCUGUUUCUCCACCUCGUACAGCGCCACACGGGACAGACUGGCACAUGGAAACGACGACUUCUCUUUAGGUCUUGAUAUGACAGGCGGUGCGGCGGAGCGAAUGCAGGGCCACCACGCAGCAGCCCCGGAGCAAGGCUCCAAUGUUGUAGACGGGAUCUGUCCCUCCCCUCUGAGUACUGAACGCCCACAAAACAGUGGGGACCACGGGGGCCGCCACGGCCAGGAGAUCCACCAGGAAGCUGCGGCUCCAGUACUGCCUGCCGACGCCCCCGCGGGCCAGCGGGAUGAGGCCGUCCGACCUCCCCUCCGCGGAGCCUGCAAAAUCCAGCUCUCUCAUGAGGCGGUUUCCACGCGCUUCCGUAUCCCCCGUGGCGGAGGGGGUCUCCACGGGAGACAAAAGGAUGGCUGAGUUCGGAUUCCUUGGAGUCAAAUCAACCACGAAGGCGGAGAUGGACUCCAGGAAGCUUUCCGUCGAGUCGGCCCCGGACUCAUCAUCAGGGGAUGUGGAGCUGGAGGGGCAGGGGGCCUGGAGCUUGAGCACGUGCUGGAUGAGCUCGGAGAAGGCAGGGCUGUAGGGCACCACGUCGGUCUGCACCGCCUGCUCCACCACCGCGCUGCCCUCCCCCUGACCCCCCGCCGCCGGGACGAGCGCCAGGGCCUCUGCCCCGCGGCCCGAACGAAGAAGCUCCAGGUCGCCAGCCUCCGUGGCGGUGGCCGUCACCAUGUCAUCAAACAAAUCUGUGCCGUCGGCCACGCUGCCUCCCACCAGCACCUCGCUGUCGGCCCCUUCCUCUGUGACCGGCUCUUCCGGAGACCGCCCAUCGGCCGUCUUGCCAAAAGGGGUGCUGAGGGCCAAGCCCUUCUCCGGGGAAUCGCACGGAAAGUCUAGACACAGUUCGUCCCUCAGAGAGCCACUGUGCGCCAUCUCCAUGCUCUGAAGGAGCGACUCCAACUUCUUGUUUUGAAUGUUUAUGUCCACGAAAUACUUCUGAAUGCCCUUGUCUUUAUCGGCCAGGCUGCUCCUCAUCGUUUCGAUGACCUGUUUGAGCUGUUUAAUCUCCUUCCUGGCUUCCUUGAGGGCCAGCUGGGCCUCCACCCGGUGGCACUCUUCUUCUAUCCAGUCAUCCCUCAUCCGGGCCAGCUGGGACUUGAGUUCCAUAAUCUCACUCUCCCUGCAGCCAGAAGACAAGCACGGCUAAGAACAAGGCCAGCUCUGAACCAGGCAGCCAGCAACUCUGAUACCCAGCCAGGAGCCCAGGCGUACCCACGUGAAACACACAAGUGAAAUCAGUUUUGAAAUUUUUCUUUCAUGGGUAUUACGGCCUGAAUUGCUCCCUUAAUUGUAAAAUAGCUAAAACAGUAACAGUAACUAGAAUCAGAAUUUAAAAGGCUAUUUUUUUUCUUUUUGAGUGCCCACCAAGUGUCCGACAUUGCACUAAGUACUAUUCAAGCAUUAUUCUCUAUUCAGUACAGGCACACCUCGUUUUACUGCUCUUUGCUUCAUUGCACUUCACAGAUAUUGCAUUUUUAUUAUUUUUUUAUUUUUUUUACAAAUUGGUUUGUGGCAACCUAGCAUUGUCAGACACUGUUUAGCAUUUUUUAGCAAAAAUGUAUUUUAAAAUUAAGCUUUGGUUUGGCAGCUGGCUCCAUAGCUCAGGGGUUAGAGCACUGGUCUUGUAAAAUUAAGGUUUGUACAUUUUUUUCAGACAUAAUGCUAUUGCACACUUAACAGACUAUAGCAGAGUAUAAACAUAACUUUUAUAUGCACUGAGAAGUGAAAAAAUUCAUGUGACUUGCUUUAUUGCAGUAUUUACUUUACUGAGGGGGUCUGGGGCUGAACUUGGAAUAUCUCUGAGGUGGUCCUGUACUUAAUAUUGGAAAUUUUAUUAUUAAAACAUGUUAGAGUCUCUUAGCCUGCUUUUACCUCCAUAGCCUACCCUUUCUUAUGUCCACAAAACAAUUUGUGGACGGGAAGUCCCAUCCCUUUUAAUUACCUAUCAAAGGCAGAAGGCAGACUGAUAAGUUUUAACAUUGCAAAAUAGUUCUGAUCAUGCUCCACUGAUAAUUUAAAAAAUUUCUUUAAGUCAUAAAAGGUACAUGUUGCAAGGACUUUGUGAAAUGUUGAUAAUUCUGUCUUCUCUCAGAUAAUACACUGGAUCCAACCUACCCUGAAGGGAACCUAUUCUAUUUUUCUAGAUCCUUUUCAGGACCCUAAUUCAAGAUAUUUGUCAAAAAAUUCUUCCUUACAUAUAAUUUCUUCAUAGUCAAUGUCAUGCUGUAAAUAAAAUAUAUGCCCUCAUAGUCUCAGUGGAUACGAAGACCAGAUUGUCAGGAUCCUGACACAGAUAAAGAGAUGUGGUGAAGUAUUGCGUCCAUAGGUUUAGGCUUGAACAUUCUCCAGUUUCACUGCCUUCCCAUACCUCCCUCUCAUGACUUUUCAAACCCUCCCAGUUUCCUCAAAUCAUAAACCAAAGACCUCCCGAAAGUAGGGUCUGACUCAUGUCAGCUUCACCUUGAGUUCCCAGCCACUCCGGUCAGAGCUCUGCUUGUCCAUGCCAAAAUGACAGGGAAAAACCAUCCAGCAAAAAAUCUGGCCUGUCCCAAGAAUGUCAAAGGUCUUUUCUCUCUGAGAUAAGAUCUCUUAAGCUUGGCCUGCUUUUGGGUUUUUUUUUUUUCCCCCUUUAAUUAAUGUAACACUUGGCCAAGAAUAAUGAACCUCUUCCUCCAGCACAGAAAUAGCUUGUAGGAAUUACAAUGCCUUGGCCAUCUGCUCCCUCACAGAGAUAAACAGGGCUUCGUCGCACCCACUGUGUGUGACCCACUCUGCUGGAAGGAUGGGACUGUUCCUGCAAGGGUUCCUGCCAUUUAAUAAUAGUCACGUACACACCCAGCUCUUCACGUCAAAGCUAUACACCCAGAAAAAGCAGAGGGUCCCUUCCAACCCAGGAUGGUUCCCUGAACUGCAACAGCCAAAUCACGCAGAAUUAUUAAAUGGCUCUGUUGAGAGACUGAUUUAAGAAAUCUGACAAAAAUUAAAUGAAGUCAUUUUUCUUCUUUUCUAGUUUUCUGUGGCAUGGGUGCAUGUUUCAUUUAAUAGGAAAAAGCAAGCACAGCGCGCAAGGAGCGCGGAUUCACCUCUCAUGAAGUCGGCGCUCAGAUUCCUUGAGCUUGGUCUUCAGGUGUCUCACUGUAACCUCUUUCUGCUGCAGAGGAGUCAGGUACUGCUCCGGAUUUGGGGGUUUGACGCCAUGAUUUUCACCACAGGACAUGUACCUUCCAGACCGCCUGAAACAAUCCAAGUAAUGAAAUGCUACUUUUUCUAUGAAAUGAAAAGUCAAGGCACAGCUAACAACUUGAGAAGAAACGGCCGCUGUGUGCUGGGGUCUGAAGCCCCGGUAGCGCGUGACCUCACGUCAGAAGGGGGACUGUGAUCUACCUGCCAGUCUGUGGACUGUUCAUUUUGAGUAAGCGUGGGGGCAGGCUGUUUGUGAAGGGGGCAGGGACGGUGGAGAGGGAGAUUUUCUACGGCUUAGGAAUGAUCUCAUAUAAAAUAAUGCACAAUUGUCCACAGGCUGGCCUGUCAGUUCAGUGUAACAUGCUGUUAUGUUAAAGGACAAUGAGUGGGGGCAGGUGGGAGGGCAGGAAGGGAGCGCGAUGACCUAGCUUUCCACACAAUGUGCCACUUGCCUAAAGAUCCCGAUUGUUGCUAGCUGAAUUCAGAUUGUUCUGACAUCA